GACGAACGCUGGCGGCGUGCUUAACACAUGCCAGUCGAACGGAAAGGCCCUGCUUUUGUGGGGUUCUCGAGUGGCGAACGGGUGAGUAACACGUGAGUAACCUGCCCUUGACUUUGGGAUAACUUCAGGAAACUGGGGCUAAUACCGGAUAGGAGCUCCUGCUGCAUGGUGGGGUUUGGAAAGUUUCGGCGGUUGGGGAUGGACUCGCGGCUUAUCAGCUUGUUGGUGGGGUAGUGGCUUACCAAGGCUUUGACGGGUAGCCGGCCUGAGAGGGUGACCGGCCACAUUGGGACUGAGAUAGGGCCCAGACUCCUACGGGAGGCAGCAGUGGGGAAUAUUGCACAAUGGGCGGAAGCCUGAUGCAGCAACGCCGCGUGCGGGAUGACGGCCUUCGGGUUGUAAACCGCUUUCGCCUGUGACGAAGCGUGAGUGACGGUAAUGGGUAAAGAAGCACCGGCUAACUACGUG
rnacentral:rRNA from 1 species